GACGAACGCUGGCGGCGUGCUUAACACAUGCAAGUCGAACGGAAAGGCCCUGCUUUUGUGGGGUGCUCGAGUGGCGAACGGGUGAGUAACACGUGAGUAACCUGCCCUUGACUUUGGGAUAACUUCAGGAAACUGGGGCUAAUACCGGAUAGGAGCUCCUGCUGCAUGGUGGGGGUUGGAAAGUUUCGGCGGUUGGGGAUGGACUCGCGGCUUAUCAGCUUGUUGGUGGGGUAGUGGCUUACCAAGGCUUUGACGGGUAGCCGGCCUGAGAGGGUGGCCGGCCACAUUGGGACUGGGAUACGGCCCAGACUCCUACGGGAGGCAGCAGUGGGGAAUAUUGCACAAUGGGCGGAAGCCUGAUGCAGCAACGCCGCGUGCGGGAUGACGGCCUUCGGGUUGUAAACCGCUUUCGCCUGUGACGAAGCGUGAGUGACGGUAAUGGGUAAAGAAGCACCGGCUAACUACGUG
rnacentral:rRNA from 1 species